CUCCUUGCUCUUUCCUCCUUCAUCUCUUGAACCAAAAGCUUAGUUCCCAUUAAUUCCCACUCUUUCUCACAAUUUUUCUCAACCAUUCCAACCUCUUCCAUCUCCCUUAUCUUCUCUUCCUUCUCUUCCACCACUUCCCUCAACUCCUUCACCUCUUCUUUCAACCUCUUCAUCUCUUGUUUCCAAUCUGCCUCCUUAAAAGCAAACACCAUUAUCUCCCUCUCAUAGUUCCUACUCUCUUUCUCCCUAUCACACAUUAUCUCCUUUAUUUCUUCUUGUAGAAGUCUCACUUUCUCUUUCAAAUUCAUUACAUAAUUUUGUGGAUACUUUUUCUCAUUUUUCUUCUUAACACUAACACUAACACAUCCCCCC
rnacentral:lncRNA from 1 species